rnacentral:misc_RNA from 1 species
UUUCUUGUUUUUAUUACUCCUUAUGAGAAGUGUUUUGGAGUUCUUUAGAUUUCAUUGUUCUUAUACUUGGUGAAAAUAAAAGAAUCUUUUCAUUAUUCUCCUUCAUCGAUCUAUGAUUCAAAUUCCUAACUCUAUCAAAUACACUGCAUAUCCCAAAUUUUUUUUACCACUCCUAAAUAUUAUUUUUUAAGGAAACACUCAAUACAUUCAAUGAAUAUUAUUUUUCUAAAAUUCUGUUACAUUACGCACUACA